AGACCUUUAGAGGUCGAAGCCGCAGACGGCUCCGUACAAGGCAGAUAAUCUACGGUCCAGCGUAAUUAAUCUACGGAUAUCUCUGGGAAACUAGAGCCAAUACGUGACAUCUAAUCYUCGGAUGCUUCGGURUUCGAGGUGCAGUUAUCGGAACAAGGCGGCGUGCUUCGGUACGCUUCCAGGUGACUCUAGGUAACCUUGCCGACCGCGAGUAACGCUCAGCGGUGUGGGCCACGAGACUGCCACCUAUCAACUAUGACGGUAGGGUAUUGGCCUACGGUGGUUGCAACGGGUACGGAGAAUCAGGGUUCGAUUCCGGAGAGUAGGCCUGAGAAACGGCCGCCAUUGCUACGGCGCACAGCAGGCGCGCAAAUUUGUCAAUAUUCGAAAGAAUGAACAAGUAAGAACGUAUGGUCGGGUAGGACUCAUUAGUCACUGCCACAUCGAUGAGACUAGUCCAAAAAGCUAGUCGAUCACUACUGGAGGGCAAGUCUGGUGCCAGCAGCCGCGGUAAUUCCAGCUCCGGGAGUUCACGGGACUAUUGCUGAGACUAAAACGUCUGUAGUCGGAACUAGCACCCGCAGGCGGUCGCGAGCGUCUCGCUUAGAGUGGCUCGUGUCGCGUGCGGGCACGACCCGGGCGUCUGCAUUUAUGUUGGCGCCCUCGGUCCACAUCCUUGACCUAAACCAAGCGAUUAACGCGAGCUCGUGCUCGAUGGUUUUGCAUGGAAUCGUAGAACGGGACCGACGUUCGGUGCUUUGCGAACGUCGGUGACGAUCAACGGGAUUGAUCGGAGGUGAGGGAAUUCGAGGGCGAGGGGUAAAAUCUAAUGAGCCUUCGAAGACCACCGAAAGCGAAAGCACUCACCGAGAGCAUUGCCGUCGAUAAAGGACCGAAGCGACUGAAGUGAACUGGAUUAGAUACCCAGGUAUCAGUGCGCCCCAAACUAUGCCAACCGGCCGGACGCUCGAUUUACGUAUCGUGGCGAGUGUUCGGUCCGAGGAAGCUAGAGUUAUUUCGCUUCUGGGAGACUACGGCUGCAAAGUUGAAACUUAAAGGAAUUGACGGAAGGACACCAUCAGGCCUGGAUUAUGUGGCUCAAUUGGAUUCGACGCCCAGUACCCAACCAGGACCGAAGCGCUCGACGAAGCACGGCUCGAAUAGCCUUGCCGAUGUGCGUAUGAGUGGUGCAUGGCCGCCGUAGUUCGUGAGGCGACUUGUCUGGUUAAUUCCGACAACGAACGCAACCGCCCUGUCAGACUAUCACCCGGUUUGCGGUUUCACCGUACCGUGGAGAAACUCAGGCAGACAAACUCGGGAGUGUUCAUUCACUACCGAGAGGAAGCUACGGCGAUGGCAGGUCUGUGAUGCCCUUAGAAGCCCUGGGUUGCACACGUCAUACAAUGUUCGUCAGAACGCGUAUUCACUAUACCGAAAGGUAUGGUCAAUCGUCGUAGAAGCGRACCCGGUUGGGAUCGAGGAUUGCAACUGUUCCUCGUGAACGCGGAACGCCUCGUAGGGGCGGGUCAUCAACCCGCCCCGAAUAAGUCCCUGUCCUUUGUACACACCGCCCGUCAUUACAGCCAAUGCAUUGUCGGCGUCAAGAGGCUGGAGGAAGUCGGGUUCGCCCGAUUUCCAAAAGUCCCUGAACGCCGGUGAUAGGAGGGUGUACAAGUCGUAACACGGUUUCCGUAGGUGACCAGGCGGAAGAU
rnacentral:rRNA from 1 species